rnacentral:rRNA from 1 species
UACAGAGGGGGCAAGCGUUGUUCGGAAUUACUGGGCGUAAAGGGCGCGUAGGCGGCCUUCUAAGUCGAACGUGAAAUCCCUGGGCUCAACCCAGGAACUGCGUCCGAUACUGAAAGGCUUGAAUCCGGGAGAGGGAUGCGGAAUUCCAGGUGUAGCGGUGAAAUGCGUAGAUAUCUGGAGGAACACCGGUGGCGAAGGCGGAUCUCUGGGCCUUACCUGACGCUGAGGCGCGAAAGCUAGGGGAGCGAACAGG